GGAGGGUGUAAGCGUUAUUCGGAAUUAUUGGGCGUAAAGAGCGCGUAGGCGGGUUUUUUAAGUCAGAUGUGAAAGCCCGAGGCUUAACCUCGGAAGUGCAUUUGAAACUAAGAGACUUGAGUAUGGGAGAGGGAAGUGGAAUUCCUGGUGUAGAGGUGAAAUUCGUAGAUAUCAGGAGGAACACCGGUGGCGAAGGCGACUUCCUGGACCAAUACUGACGCUGAGGCGCGAAGGCGUGGGGAGCAAACAGGAUUAGAUACCCUGGUAGUCCACGCAGUAAACGGUGAACACUAGGUGUAGCGGGUAUUGACCCCUGCUGUGCCGAAGUUAACGCAUUAAGUGUUCCGCCUGGGGAGUACGACCGCAAGGUUA
rnacentral:rRNA from 1 species